AGAGUUUGAUCCUGGCUCAGAUUGAACGCUGGCGGCAUGCCUAACACAUGCAAGUCGAACGGUAACAGAGGGAGCUUGCUCCUUGCUGACGAGUGGCGGACGGGUGAGUAACGCGUAGGAAUCUGCCUGAUAGAUGGGGACAACUCAGGGAAACUUGAGCUAAUACCGAAUACGCCCUACGGGGGAAAGCGGGGGAUCUUCGGACCUCGCGCUAUCAGAUGAGCCUGCGUUGGAUUAGCUAGUUGGUGAGGUAAUGGCUCACCAAGGCGACGAUCCAUAGCUGGUCUGAGAGGACGAUCAGCCACACUGGAACUGAGACACGGUCCAGACUCCUACGGGAGGCAGCAGUAGGGAAUAUUGCGCAAUGGGCGAAAGCCUGAUCCAGCAAUGCCGCGUGUGUGAAGAAGGCCUGCGGGUUGUAAAGCACUUUCAGUCGGGAGGAAGAGAGGGUCGUUAAUAGCGACCCAGGAUGACGUUACCGACAGAAGAAGCACCGGCAAACUCCGUGCCAGCAGCCGCGGUAAUACGGAGGGGGCGAGCGUUAAUCGGAAUUACUGGGCGUAAAGCGCGCGUAGGAGGUUUGUUAAGUCAGAUGUGAAAGCCCCGGGCUUAACCUGGGAAUUGCAUUUGAUACUGUCAUGCUCGAGUUUGGUAGAGGGGAGUGGAAUUUCCGGUGUAGCGGUGAAAUGCGUAGAGAUCGGAAGGAACACCAGUGGCGAAGGCGACUUACUGGACCAAUACUGACACUGAGGUGCGAAAGCGUGGGGAGCAAACGGGAUUAGAUACCCCGGUAGUCCACGCCGUAAACGAUGUCUACUAGCCGUUAGGAAUUUAUAAUCCUUUAGUAUCGUAGCUAACGCGAUAAGUUCUCCGCCUGGGGAGUACGGCCGCAAGGCUAAAACUCAAAUGAAUUGACGGGGGCCCGCACAAGCGGUGGAGCAUGUGGUUUAAUUCGAUGCAACGCGAAGAACCUUACCUGGUCUUGACAUCCCAAGAAUCUUUAAGAGAUUAGAGAGUGCCUUCGGGAACUUGGAGACAGGUGCUGCAUGGCUGUCGUCAGCUCGUGUCGUGAGAUGUUGGGUUAAGUCCCGCAACGAGCGCAACCCCUAUCCUUGGUUGCCAGCACGUAAUGGUGGGAACUCCAGGGAGACUGCCGGUGACAAACCGGAGGAAGGUGGGGAUGACGUCAAGUCAUCAUGGCCCUUAUGGCCAGGGCUACACACGUGCUACAAUGGGCAGUUUAGAGGGGCGCAAUACCGCGAGGUGGAGCCAAUCCCAGAAAACUGCUCGUAGUCCGGAUCGGAGUCUGCAACUCGACUCCGUGAAGUCGGAAUCGCUAGUAAUCGUAGAUCAGCAUGCUACGGUGAAUACGUUCCCGGGCCUUGUACACACCGCCCGUCACACCAUGGGAGUGGGUUGCACCAGAAGUGGCUAGUCUAACUUAGUGAGGACGGUCACCACGGUGUGAUUCAUGACUGGGGUAAAGUCGUAACAAGGUAACC
rnacentral:rRNA from 1 species